rnacentral:rRNA from 1 species
GGGAACUGAAACAUCUAAGUACCCGGAGGAAAAGAAAUCAAACGAGAUGCCCACAGUAGCGGCGAGCGAAGAGGGCAGAGCCCAAACCGUAGAGCUACGGCUCCGCGGGGUUGAGGACCGGCGGAAUCUAAGUCAGGCCUAGCCGAACUACCUGGAAAGGUAGGCGAGAGAGUGUAAAAGCCACGUAGGCGAAAGGCAGAGCGAAGAGGCCGGGAUCCAGAGUACCACGAGGCACGAGGAAUCUUGUGGGAAGCAGGGGGGACCACCCUCCAAGGCUAAAGACUAAAUGGCGACCGAUAGCGCAUAGUACCGUGAGGGAAAGGUGAAAAGAACCCCGGGAGGGGAGUGAAAGAGAACCUGAAACCGUAUGUCUACAAGCAGUCGGAGCGAAAGCGACGGCGUGCCUAUUGAAGAAUGAACCAACGAGUUACGUGCACCAGCGAGGUUAAGCGGAAGACGCGGAGCCGAAGCGAAAGCGAGUCUUAAGAGGGCGGAUAGUUGGUGUACGUAGACCCGAAACCGCAGUGAUCUACCCAUGUCCAGGUUGAAGCGCAGGUAAAAUUGCGUGGAGGACCGAACCUGUGAGCGUUGAAAAGCUUUAGGAUGAGAUGUGGGUAGAGGUGAAAUUCCAAUCGAACGCGGAGAUAGCUGGUUCUCCCCGAAAUAGCUUUAGGGCUAGCCUCAGGUAGUAAGUAUAGGCGGUAGAGCACUGAUCGGGCUAGGGGCCAUAAAGGUUACCGAACCCUGUCAAACUCCGAAUGGUUAUACUGCAGAGCCUGGGAGUCAGACUACGAGUGAUAAGAUCCGUGGUCAAAAGGGAAACAGCCCAGACCACCAGCUAAGGUCCCAAAUGCCGUACUAAGUGGAGAAGGAUGUGGGGUCUCGAAAACAACCAGGAUGUUGGCUUAGAAGCAGCCACCAUUUAAAGAGUGCGUAAUAGCUCACUGGUCGAGAGACCCUGCGCCGAAGAUUUGCGGGGCUAAAGUACGGAACCGAAGCUGUGGCUACAUACUUAGGUAUGUGGGGUAGGGGAGCGUUCCCUGAGGGUAGAAGUUAUACUGGAAGGUAUGGUGGACUUCAGGGAAGUGAGAAUGUUGGUAUGAGUAGCGAAAAGAAAGGUGAGAAUCCUUUCCACCGAAAGCAUAAGGAUUCCUGGGCAACGAUCGUCGUCCCAGGGUAAGUCGGGACCUAAUCCGAGGCAGAGAGCGUAGGAGAUGGACAACUGGCAGAUAUUCCAGUACCGGUAAUAAUUGUUUGAGCGAAGGAGUGACACAGGAGGGCAGGCAGGCAGGAGAAUGGAAGUUCCUGUACAAGCGUGUAGGAUGGGUUACAGGCAAAUCCGUAACCCGUAAGUCUGAGGCGUGAUGUGUAGCGAUCAGAGAUGAGAGCGAAGCUGUUGACCCCACACUGUCGAGAAAAGCUUCUAGUGAGAGAAUUACCGCCCGUACCGUAAACCGACACAGGUAUGCGGGGAGAGAAUCCUAAGGUGCGCGGGAGAACCCUCGUUAAGGAACUCGGCAAAAUGUACCCGUAACUUCGGGAUAAGGGUAGCCGCCGUUGUGAAGUCUGUACGGAUGGAGCAUAAGGCGGUCGCAGAGAAGAGGCCCAAGCGACUGUUUACCACAAACACAGGUGCCUGCUAAAGAGAAAUCUGACGUAUAGGUGCUGACACCUGCCCAGUGCCGGAAGGUUAAGGAAGGAUGUCCGGAUUAGUCCAAAGCAUUCGACCGAAGCCCCGGUGAACGGCGGCCGUAACUAUAACGGUCCUAAGGUAGCGAAAUUCCUUGUCAGGUAAGUUCUGACCCGCAUGAAAGGUGUAACGAUUUGGGCACUGUCUCAACGAGGGACCCGGUGAAAUUGAAGUACCUGUGAAGAUGCAGGUUACCCGCGACUGGACAGAAAGACCCCAUGGAGCUUUACUGUAACCUGACAUUGUGUUCUGAUACAUCACGUACAGGAUAGGUGGGAGGCUUGGAAGGCUGGACGCAAGUCUGGCUGGAGCCGACGUUGGGAUACCACCCUUGAUGUAUCGGAAUUCUAACCGUAGGAGUAACGAAACUCGGGACAGUGUCAGGCGGGCAGUUUGACUGGGGCGGUCGCCUCCCAAAGAGUAACGGAGGCGCCCAAAGGUUCCCUCAGCGCGGCCGGAAAUCGCGCGAAGAGUGUAAAGGCAGAAGGGAGCUUGACUGAGAGCCAAACAAGGCGAUCAGGUACGAAAGUAGGGCUUAGUGAUCCGGUGGCAUCCAAGUGGAAGGGCCAUCGCUCAACGGAUAAAAGCUACCCUG